rnacentral:rRNA from 1 species
GACCGUAAUGUUGCCACUAUGCCAUUCAAGCUCAGGCGGAUCUUGGAAGCGAUGCAGGGUCGGCCCUGGUUAGUACUUCUAUGGGAGACCACCUGGGAAUACCAGGUGCUGUAAGCU